rnacentral:rRNA from 1 species
GACGAACGUUGGCGGCGUGCUUAACACAUGCAAGUCGAACGAUGAACCCGGAGCUUGCUCCGGUGGAUUAGUGGCGAACGGGUGAGUAACACGUGAGUAACCUGCCCUUGACUCUGGGAUAACUGCGGGAAACUGUAGCUAAUACCGGAUACGACCCUCGGCGGCAUCGCCAGGGGGUGGCAAGAAGUCCGGUCAAGGAUGGACUCGCGGCCUAUCAGCUAGUUGGUGAGGUAACGGCUCACCAAGGCGACGACGGGUAGCCGGCCUGAGAGGGUGACCGGCCACACUGGGACUGAGACACGGCCCAGACUCCUACGGGAGGCAGCAGUGGGGAAUAUUGCACAAUGGGCGCAAGCCUGAUGCAGCAACGCCGCGUGAGGGAUGACGGCCUUCGGGUUGUAAACCUCUUUUAGUAGGGAAGAAGCGAAAGUGACGGUACCUGCAGAAAAAGCACCGGCUAACUACGUGCCAGCCGCCGCAGUAA